ACCACGUGGAGAGGAGGCUCUCGGAGAUCGGCUGACGGCGUAGGGAGAAGGCUCUCUGGUCGGCUGACCGCCUGGAGAGGAGGCUGUGGGAGGUUGGCUGAUCCCCUGGGGAGGAGGCUCUGGCAGGUCGGCCGACCAUGUUGGGAGGAGGCUCUUGGAGUUACACGUUGUCUUCAGAAAAAGAGAUUCCCCAGAGCCCCACACAGUGCCUGGCAAAUGUAGCAUGACACAAUUCCUUCAAGACUUCCCAGCCUGCAGGAGGGAGUCGCUGGCUAAACCUGGAUACAGGCCGGGAUGCUACAACUUGCUGGUUGCUCAACUCUAGAUGGUCAACUGUCCGUUCCCAGAGCUUUGGUUUCCUCAUGCUGGCAGAUCAUCACUGAUGUCCAUUCCUUCCAGGUGUUUAGUUCGUAGGCCAGUCCUGAGUUGUUGAGUGAGAAAGUAGGAAGAGUACGCAGUGAUAACAUGAGGAGCAGAACAGAAGACUCUUUUGUGUGACCUGGAACCAAAGGUCAUCAUGCUGGGGCAGA
rnacentral:lncRNA from 1 species